GGUCUAGUGCUGUGUGGAAGACUAGUGAUUUUGUUGUUCUGAUGUACAAUGACAACAAGUCACAGCUUCCUCAUAGCGUGGACU
rnacentral:pre_miRNA from 1 species